CAUUAGAUGACUGAAAGUAAGUAAUGAUCUCUUAAAUCAUAUCAUGGUAAUUGACAUCUACCUCUAAUGA
rnacentral:tRNA from 1 species